CUCCUAUUGGGGUCUAAUAGGGGGCGGGUGGGUAUGGAGCACAGGGUCAAGGAGGUCUUCAUUACUGUGCCUUUAUCAGGAGUCUCCCCUGCACACAGUUGCAGACCCAACAAAUCAUGGAGGAGUUGGAGGGGAGGUCACCGAACUGAGCUCCAUAUGCUGGAUGGAUGGGGUCACCAACAACCAGGCCACCGUGAGCAAGUUCCAAGUCAAGAAUCAGAAGUUUCCUGGGAGCUCAGGGAUGCUACUGAGGGUAUCUGCCUGCAGCCCGCAGUACUAGGCCAGGUGGGUGCUUCCUGGCACCGGGGGGCACCAGAAACACAGCUCUCCUGCUGUGCCCAGAGUGGCAGGACAGGGCAGGGGAGGGCCUGGCAGCGAGCACCAUUUUGGUGGGUUUUACUGAGUUACUCUCAGGUUUCCUGCUGUCAAGCCAGGAGGCAGGCAAACGGAGCCCACUUCUCUUCCCAGGUGCCCUGGGCUCCGCCAUUCCCCUUAGCAUGCUGCGUAGACUUUCUCUCCUGCCUCUAGCCCAAGCCCAGACUUGGGGUCCAGAGAAUGCGAGUGAGGGCUAAGCAUUUCUGGCUCCAGGGAGACCCCCUCCUCCUUUGGGUGGUGCAGGGAGAAUCUUCCUAAUGUGAAACGCUGACAUUUUUCUUGCUUUGAACUCUUCCCAUGAUAGAACACAGCUCUUGAGCUUGGCCACCGACGACUUCUGUGCACCAACCCACCUAACGGUCCGGCUUCCCCUCUCCCAGCAAACACUUCACUGCCUGUGCUCCAGCUAUUAGACUCUGCAGAGAUUACCGGCUCCUCAGAGUUUCUCUAAGCCUUUGCUCCCAGAGGGCCAGGAAUGCUUCCCCGCCCUGCUUCCCUGACCAGUCGGUUACUGUGCAGUCUCUCCUGGCCCAGACCAGCCUGGGUGUUUCAUGUCACCCUGCAAUGGUCUGCUGGUGACUCUCAGUUUCCGUGUCACUCUCCCCUCUGGACUUGGAACUCAUUAAGGACAAGAUCCAGGCUUCAAGCGUCCCUAAGCAGCUCCUGUGGCCCAGGCCAGCAUGUGUGCAAAGUGGGUAAGACAAGACGCAGAGGUGGGAGGGCCGGGCUGCACCGCCAGGCUGUUGAGCUCAACUUCUGCUUCUACUGAUGGGUUCUGCCAAGGGGACAGCUCCCAGCUGCUGCCUGCCUGUCCCUUGGCCUGGCUCCGGAGAAGCCUUCAGGCCUCAAGCACCAGGCUCUUCUUCCAACUGACCUUCCUAUGUCCUUUUAUGUCCCAAGAGGUUUCUAAACUUCUUGAGGGCAGGGCCUGGUAUCCCACAU
ensembl:lncRNA